GUUCAAACAACGAUAAAAUGUAACUAAACGUUGGACCCGAACUAUUUUUAAAUGUAUCGAAUAACAAGAAUCUUUGCAAGGCAUUUGUUUGAUGUAAUA